rnacentral:lncRNA from 1 species
GCUACAUUGAGGCCAGGUGCAGUGGCUCACACCUCUAAUCCCAGUUCUUUGGGAGGCUGAGGCCAGCGGAUCACGAAGUCAGGAGAUCAAGACCAUCCUGGACAACACGGUGAAACCCUGUCUCUUCAAAUAUACAAAGAAUUAACCAGAGAAGCAGGGAAUCUGGAAUUUUGGGUGAAAUGUCUGUUUCCAGAAGCUGAAAAUGCUCUCAAAUGGAAAAUUCAGGGUCAGAAUGGCCUGGGGUACUGCACACUUCCUGCCAGGAAUAGAAGGCCCCACAGCUAUAGGACCUCUCUUCCGUUUAGUUCUUUGGAAGGAUGAGCAAAUUAUUCAGCCUCUCUGAGCCUCAGUUUUCUCAUCCAUAAAAUGAGGACAGUACACCAACCUCGCAGGUCACAAGGAUGUUAUGAAAUCAGAGUGCAGUGAAUAGAAGACACUUCUCUGCACCCCAAAAGCUCCAUGCUGAUUGCGAGAAGGAAAUGCUGGAUGGAGGGGUUCCUGGAACUACUGUGAGGGAAAUGGUAACAGAACUUUGGAUGUGGAACGUGCAGUAGGAGUUACACGAAGUGCGGGUCUGCACUUGGGGUGGUCAGCACGGCGGAUGCCCAGCAAACGCACUGCCUGGUCCACAUCCCGGAGUGGUCUCUACGCCCCAGUCGGCAUCGCAGCUGAUGGUGAAACUUUUGGUGUG